rnacentral:rRNA from 1 species
AAUCAACGCUGGCGGCGUGCCUCAGACAUGCAAGUCGAACGCGAAAGUUUCCUUCGGGGGACAAGUAGAGUGGCGCACGGGUGAGUAACACGUAGGUAAUCUACCUUUGGAUGGGGAAUAACAACCGGAAACGGUUGCUAAUACCGCAUAAUGCAGCGGCACCUAAUGGUGACAGUUGUUAAAGCGGGGGAUCGAAAGACCUCGCGUCUGAAGAGGAGCCUGCGGCGGAUUAGCUAGNGGUAAGGUAAUGGCUUACCAAGGCUACGAUCCGUAACCGGCCUGAGAGGGCGGUCGGUCACACUGACACUGACAUACGGGUCAGACUCCUACGGGAGGCAGCAGUCGGGAAUUUUGGGCAAUGGGCGAAAGCCUGACCCAGCGACGCCGCGUGGGUGAAGAAGGCCUGCGGGUUGU